GACAGAGGGUGCUAGCGUUGUUCGGAAUUACUGGGCGUAAAGGGCGCGUAGGCGGCUUGUUUAGUCGGGUGUGAAAUCCCGGGGCUCAACCCCGGAACUGCAUUCGAUACUGGCAGGCUAGAGACCGGAAGAGGUGGGUGGAAUACCCAGUGUAGAGGUGAAAUUCGUAGAUAUUGGGUGGAACACCGGUGGCGAAGGCGGCUCACUGGUCCGGUUCUGACGCUGAGGCGCGAAAAGCGUGGGGAGCAAACAGG
rnacentral:rRNA from 1 species